rnacentral:rRNA from 1 species
CUACGUGCCAGCAGCCGCGGUAAUACGGAAGGUCCGGGCGUUAUCCGGAUUUAUUGGGUUUAAAGGGAGCGUAGGCCGGAGAUUAAGUGUGUUGUGAAAUGUAGACGCUCAACGUCUGACUUGCAGCGCAUACUGGUUUCCUUGAGUACGCACAACGUUGGCGGAAUUCGUCGUGUAGCGGUGAAAUGCUUAGAUAUGACGAAGAACUCCGAUUGCGAAGGCAGCUGACGGGAGCGCAACUGACGCUUAAGCUCGAAGGUGCGGGUAUCGAACAGGAUUAGAUACCCUGGUAGUCCGCACAGUAAACGAUGGAUGCCCGCUGUUGGUACCUGGUAUCAGCGGCUAAGCGAAAGCAUUAAGCAUCCCACCUGGGGAGUACGCCGGCAACGGUGAAACUCAAAGGAAUUGACGGGGGCCCGCACAAGCGGAGGAACAUGUGGUUUAAUUCGAUGAUACGCGAGGAACCUUACCCGGGCU